UACGGGGGGGGCAAGCGUUGUUCGGAAUUACUGGGCGUAAAGGGCUCGUAGGCGGCCAACUAAGUCAGACGUGAAAUCCCUCGGCUUAACCGGGGAACUGCGUCUGAUACUGGAUGGCUUGAGUUUGGGAGAGGGAUGCGGAAUUCCAGGUGUAGCGGUGAAAUGCGCAGAUAUCAGGAAGAACACCCGUGGCGAAAGCGGCUCUCUGGAACGGUACUGACGCUGAGACGCGAAAGCGUGGGGAGCGAACAGG
rnacentral:rRNA from 1 species